CUACGGGACGCAGCAGUGGGGAAUAUUGGACAAUGGGGGAAACCCUGAUCCAGCAAUGCCGCGUGUGUGAAGAAGGCCUGCGGGUUGUAAAGCACUUUCGGUUGGGAGGACUGCUUCUAGCACUAAUAUUGUCGGAAGUUGACGUUACCUUCAGAAGAAGCACCGGCUAACUCCGUGCCAGCAGCCGCGGUAAUACGGAGGGUGAAGCGUUAAUCGGAAUUACUGGGCGUAAAGCGCGCGUAGGCGGCUAGAUCAGUCGGGUGUGAAAGCCCCGGGCUUAACCUGGGAACUGCAUCCGAUACUGUCUAGCUUGAGUACAGGAGAGGAGAGUGGAAUUCCACAUGUAGCGGUGAAAUGCGUAGAUAUGUGGAGGAACACCAAUGGCGAAGGCAGCUCUCUGGCCUGAUACUGACGCUGAGGUGCGAAAGCGUGGGGAGCAAACAGGAUUAGAUACCCCCGUAGUC
rnacentral:rRNA from 1 species